rnacentral:lncRNA from 1 species
UCAUAAGUCAAUAACAUAUAAAGCAAAAACAUAAUUAAAGCACAAAAGGAUCAAACUCCUAUUCUUCAACAAGAUCACAGUCACAGUGUAUAGAAAUUAAAAAAAUAGAGUAGCAAUAAAAUUGGAAAAAAAGCAGAGUACUAAUAGAAAUUGAAAAAAAAACAGAGCAGUUAUAGAGAUUGAAAAACAGAGAAGCAACAGAAAUUGAAAAAAAAAGCAGCAAUAAAACUAUAGAAAAGAACACAGCAACAACCAAAAAUAGAAAAAAAAUAUAGUAGUAGAGCAGUCGCAGCAAUAAAAAUAUAGAAAAAAACACAGCACCAACCAAAAAUAGAAAAAAAAUAGUCACAGAGUAGUCCCAGCCUCGCAGCAAUAAAAAUAUAGAAAAAAACACAACAGUAACCAAAAAUAGAAAAACAAACAGUCACAGAGUAGUCCCAGC